CCGGCCGAGCUCCGGACACGUGCGGAGGGGCCAGCUGUGGACUUUGGGCAAAUGCAACCCCAGAAUGACUUGAAAGUAGGGCAUCUUUGGCCCUCCUGAAGAGAGGAAAUUAAAGGCGGACAGUCUGUGUAUGGAGUUUUCAGAUACCUUCACCUAAGUGAGAAACCUGCCUUCAUCAGGACCUCAGAUGUCUGACAGCCCUGUGUGACACCAAGAGAAGUAGUGUAUGUAGUUCUUUUGUCAUGUAGGUUGUAAUUAACUUGCAUCAGAUGGGUGGUGUGAAAUAAUAGAAAAUAUCUGUUGGUCUUUGCUCCCAUUCCUGGCACAGAGCUCCUAAAAACCCUUGUGAUUUCCUAAGUGAUAAUAGCAGUAGGAGCAUCUUUUGUUCUAAGAUUUGGUCUUUGGCUCUGGUUCCUGACACUGAGCUCCUAAAUCCCUUGGAAUUUCCUGGGUGAUAGGA